rnacentral:rRNA from 1 species
AAUGAACGCUGGCGGCGCGCCUAAUACAUGCAAGUCGAGCGAGAAGACGUAGCAAUACGUUUGUAAAGCGGCGAACGGGUGAGGAAUACAUGGGUAACCUACCCUCGAGUGGGGAAUAACUAGCCGAAAGGUUAGCUAAUACCGCGUACGCUCCUUGGACUUCGGUUCAGGGAGGAAAGCGAUACCGUGGGUAUCGCGCUCUUGGUUGGGCUCAUGUCCUAUCAGCUUGUUGGUGAGGAACGGCUCACCAAGGCUUCGACGGGUAGCUGGUCUGAGAGGACGAUCAGCCACACUGGCACUGCGACACGGGCCAGACUCCUGCGGAGGCAGCAGUAAGGAAUAUUGCGCAAUGGGCGAAAGCCUGACGCAGCGACGCCGCGUGGGGGAUGAA